UUCCUGUCUUGGCCUUCCAAAGCACUAGGAUUACAGAUCUUUAUGGUCUGCCAAUACAAGAACAUCAUCAAUCUAAUAUAAACAGUUUGGUCAAAUGUCUUUGGGACCUAUCUAUUGGGACCUAUUACUUGGGACCUAUUCAUUACUAUUAUAAUUAAUAGUAUUCUUUUGGAAAAUAUGUCACUGUAUUACAUUCAUGUGUUAAUUAUGAAUGCAAUUCACAAAUCUGUGAUAAAAGUUACACUGCACCAGACACUCCAGACACAGGGCUAAAGAGGACUGAUAUUGCCACACAUAAAGAAGUAUUUAUUACAACAGGAAUAGAGUCAUGUAACAAGCAAGUGCAAGCAAUUGUGCUUCUUGGUAGCACAAAUACAGAACCAUGCAGUAUUACAGAGGUGCCUAAGGUGGGGGCCUUAAGAGAAUCUGAACAUUCUGACGUUGAGAAACAAUGCUUAGAGGUAUUUGUUGUUGUUGGUGUUGCUAUAAAAAUCCUCCCCUUUCAUGAACAUUUUUUCUUUACUUAUUUUAUGUGUUUGUUUGAUUCCCUAAUUUAGGCUUUAAAAUGUGCUGACUUUGUAGUCAUAAUUAUGGUACGCUUUUCAAAAUUGUUAAUGCGGGUGACCAAAACCAAUCCCUACCCUUUACAGGCCUGCCACAAUCCUAUUGAUAGCGGCAACUGCCAGCUGAAGGUUUUGGAUCUUGUGAUUGCAAUGGAAACUGGCACGAUCAAUCCACUUAUUUGCUAAAUUACCCGUGCUUCCUCUACUGUAAUUCCCCCCUGCCCCCUGCGAGACAGAGUCUCGCUCUGUCGCCAGGCUGGAGUGCAGUGGCCCGGCAUGAUCUCGGCUCGCUGCAAGCUCCGCUUCCUGGGUUCAGGCGAUUCCCCUACCUCAGCCUCUGGAGUAGCUGGGAUUACAGGCGCGCGCCACCACCCCCAGCUAAUUAUCAUUAUUAUUAUUUUUGUAUUUUAGUAGAGAAGGGAUUUCACCAUGUUGACCAGGAUGGUCUCGAUCUCCUGAUCUCGUAAUCUGCCCUCCUCGGCCUCUCAAAGUGCUGGGAUUAUAGGCUUGAGCCACCGUGUCCUCUACUGUAAUUUUACUUGCCCCCUGUGGGGUAAAUAUUUUCAACAUACUUUUUGGUACUGCAGUAAAUCACAUUCUAUCCUCAAGGAUGAAAAGCAGGAAGAUUCUUAUUCAUUAGAAUAGAGUUUCUUCCCAAACAUCCAUGCAAGUUUAAAGGCUCCUAUUGACUAUGUAUUAGAAGCACUUUUUUUGUUGUGUUUUGUUUUUUACUGAAAUGAUAUUGUUGGCUCUACAAACAAAUGAAACCCAAUAAUGGGUUUCUCUAUUCUUGCUGGUCUUUUCCUUCUUAAAAGAAUCAUGUGGUCAUUCCUUAUUUGAAAAAAAAAAAGAAAAAGACACUGAAAUGCUGCAAUGCCUGAUAAGGAGAAUCUGCAACACUUGGGCAUCUUGUGUAUAAGAAAAGAUUCUUAUCCUUAUGCUACUGUCAUGGAGCUUGGAUAUUUACAAACCUACCGCUUUUGACAAGCUUGUGAGAAUUUACAUAGUCUCACACCGCCCCUAAUUUUUAUGGCAGAAUGUGUCUCACAUUUGUAAUAUUCUCAGAGCUCCUCAGGAUUCUAACCUCUCUAACUAGAGAUGGUUUCUGAGCAGGCAAGAAGGAAAAAGAGGCAAAAACUGAUUGCAUCUUUUGUUCGCUUUUCAAAGCCAGAUCUCGAAAUUCCCAAGAAUCCUUAAAGUUGGAGACAUGUAGCUAAUGGAAUUCUAGUCAAUCCACAUAUUUAUGUGUUUGGAAAGUGGCUGUUAUCAGUUCUUCUUAACCAUGUGCACUAUUGUCAGGGCCCUUCCAGGCAGCCACACCUGACGAAAGCUGUGAUUGCCCUAGAUUUCCACUAGAGACCUCUAGCUGAUCACAGGAGCCUGGAAAGCAGCUCUCAUUACUGGGCGUUUCUCUAGAAGCAGCAGAGGAUAAGAGUUUGCCAGUUGCCCCUGGGAGAAGGUGGACUUUACCAUCAAAGGAAAAUAAUUCUGUAUAAUCUUUCUCUCUCUCAUUUUUUUUUAAAGCAAAUUGAGGCUUAUUCAAGUAGGUAUAUUGUGAAACACUGAAGAGGAAAUAAUUUCUGUGUCUUAAAGCUAUGGCAUACAAAAGACAAAAUAGAGAUUUUUAUAGAUUGAAAGGCCCCUUCUCUAAGGGGCUGUUCAUACUGAUAUUUGGAGGCCAGCCUCAAUUCUCAGUGUUUGAGAGCUUCUCCUGACAGGUAUGAGGGAGAAUGAGUUUACUCGCAGUCUGAGAGCUUUUAGGCAUUAUUGUGAAGCUGAACAAAGUGCUCCCUGUGCCCCACCAUGCCCCAGCCUUUUACUGCAGCCCCCUAUAUGUGAAGGAUGGUAGCCCUCCGGGUGCAUACCACCUUCAAUGCCAGGCCUAUAGCUGUAAUCCCAUGCAACAGAAACAGAUGGGAUACAUCUGUAAGGAGAGACUGGUAGAUGAAGUUUCACCGUUUUUCCAAAAACGCAAAACACAUUAAUCUCCAUUUGCCUUUGAAUAGUCUGCAGUAGAAACAGAGGACCAAAAGGGAAAAUAAUCUCCCCUCAUUUAACCUGUGCCCCUGUGAAAAAUUGUGAUAGCUUGUAUUUCAGAAACUGAGUGUAACUAAUUUUGCCCUCUAUCCAUGGUCUUCACUACACAGCAGCAUUAGAAAGAGAAUCAAAAUCGGAUCAGAUCAAUGAAUCUAUAAAGCCUUUUUUGGAAUGUAUUGCCACCACGAGUUGAUCAGUUUCUCCAGAGGCCCUCUAAUACCCAGUUUUCUCUGGGGCAAUUGUAGAUCCUUUUGCAUUCAUUUUUAGGACAAAUCUUGUCAUUCUUUUAGGUAGACUGUCAUUUGUUCAUUCAUUUAUUCAUUUGUUUUUCAAAUGCCUAUGCUGCUCCAGUCGCUGUGAUUUGCAAAGAAAACACAAAUGAUGAUAUACAGGGCUUGAGUGGGAGUUCCUAACAUUGGAUCCACAGAUUCCUAAAAGUGAACGACUACUUCAAGAUGUCUGUAAUCCUCCUAAGAUGUGUGUGUGCUUUAACUAUGAGAAAAAUCCAAGAUUUAGAACAAUCUUUAAAGGGAUUGAUGUAAAAACUAUUGUAGAGGCUGACAGUUACACGAGCAAGUAAUCAGAAGACUACAUUAGAAUUGUCAUAUAGUAAAGAUACAGUAUGUACAGUGUCACAUGAGGUCACAGGUGGAGUUUUCUCAAUUGUCACUGAUGACACAGGUCAGUGAAGGCUACAGAGAAGGUAGCAUUUGUGUUAUAUGUGAAGGUUGAGUAGGAAGUGGUGAGAUGACUUGAAGGGAGGGUAGACGAAAGUCAGUGUGCUCUGAGGGGCAGUUCACCUCCAGGGUCUGAGGCCACCCUGCAAGUUGGAGCAUGAUUGGAAUUUUCUCUCCUGCAACCUGACAAAUGAAGCGCGCUUUGCCAUGAGUCAACUGUUACGGGAAAAGGAAUUCCACAGGCAUGCCCUGACUGACCACAAAUGGGCGAGAGCACAUGAUACAGGUUAAGAUUAAGCUGUUUCUUUCAUGUGAGUCUCAUCACUGAGAUCUGAUUCCACCUACAAAGGUUAAACAUUUUACUUGGCUGCCUGGAAAAAGCUGAGAUGUGAUUCUGAUUACAAGUUUGGAAGCAAUUAAAAAUGGUGGGAUUGGGAGAGGAGAAGAUUUGACACUGUACUGCAAAGAAGUCAUCGCAGUAUCUUCAAGCUAGUCAGAACUGGCCUUAUAAAACAGGAAAAUAAAGAAUGUUUCAGAUUGCAAGGAAACAUAGUGAAGGG
rnacentral:lncRNA from 1 species